rnacentral:rRNA from 1 species
GUCUUUUUGAUUAUGAUUUAAAGUCUAGUCUGCCCGCUGUGAAUAUGAAGGGCCGCGGUAUUUUAACUGUGCAAAGGUAGCAUCAUAAUUAGUUUUUUAAUUGAAAACUGGUAUGAAUGGCUGGACGAGAAAAAUAGUGUCUCAAUAAAAAUUAAUGAAUUUUAUUUUUAAGUGAAAAAGCUUAAAUAAUUUUAAAAGACGAGAAGACCCUAUAGAGUUUAACAUUAAUUUUAUAAUAAAUAAUUAGAAUAUUUUAUUAUUAUAAUAAUUUAGUGUUUAGCUGGGGUGGCUUUAAAAUUGAUUUAACUUUUAAAUAAAUAAACAUUAAUUACUGAAUUUUUGAUCCAAUAAUUUGAUUAAAAGAUUUAAUUACCUUAGGGAUAACAGCGUAAUCUUUCUUAGGAGUUCAAAUCAAUAGAAGGGAUUGCGA